CCGUUUCUCCACCCUCUCCAGAGCUUGCAGCUUCCCAGAGCCACUUUAACAGCUACGGGGUGUCGCAGUCUCCGGCAGGGGGCCGACUAGGAACGCAAGGCAACCAAGGGGCUCCCUCCCCGUCCGCGACUGAGGACAGCGGACCCAAGCCUCACGACCACUGCCUUACAGUCUUGUUUGCCCGCUUUCAAGCCUGACGCGUGGAUCGCAGUGCCAGCGAAAAAAAGCACUUUUUCACUCACCAAGUGCGGGCGCUUGGGAUUCCACGGCAAAGGCUGCCAUCGCAGCAGCAACUACACUUAUCUCAGGACCUUCACGAUUUUCAAAAAUGGCGGAAACUCUCCCCAUGGUUGGGGCGCGCUACCUUAUGGGGUGGCGUAACUUCCGGACAUGCGCCAAAACAUUUAAGUUGUUGGAACCCGAACUGCCAUUUUAGAAUCGGGCAAUGUCUUUGCGCAGACUCAACAUUUCACAGGACCUAUGAUCUACUGUCCAUGUUUCUCUGUUCUGCUUGCGCCACAAGAGACCUAUCUCUGAAGACUACAUGAGCUCCACUGACUUAGAUUGGAGAUUGGGAGGAGAGUGAAGUUCAGUCUCGAGUAAUUCUUUGCGUCAUGAUGGUCAAUUACCCACAACUGGUGCCCCGUGUGAGGAAACUACGGUGCUCAAAUUCUUCACGUGAAGCAAUCAGCCCUUCCAGGAGGAGCGACAUUCGUCCAGACCACAUUUUCCACCCCCAAGGUCCUCGGUGGUUGCCGGCAAAAAACAUUAAACCUUAUCAUAAGCUGAAAGGAUCAACCGUUCAACCCAGUCCCACAGAUGGAAAAAAUGACACUGGAAAACCAGAAGAACUCGCGAGCUCGUCUCUGCCAUAACACCAUUCAUGCACAGUCAAUAAUUAAUAUCUUUUCACAAGUACGAAGAACCGAAAAAAAAACUUGUCACCUUCAUCGCUGCGGCAUCACUUCCAGCACAGCCCCCCAAAUCUGAGUCAAAGUCUUUUAAUAAAGAAGGGGGAGAUGUGGGAAUCCUUUGGAUAAAAAACUUGUAAUCCUGCUUCUGCUCCAGCAAGCAUGUAGAUGGAAGACUGCCUGUGACUGAUUCCUAUCAAAAACGAUGGGAACGUCUCGCUUUGCUAUGCUAUGUCCUUGGCCUUGGAACUUUAUGCUCGCAUACCAAGCUUAUCCGUUAUCAACAUGCCUGCUGGCGUUUGUUGCAUAUUAUACAGUACAUCUUGCCUCUGUUUCAAAUCACAUAUUUUCACACGUCUCCUUGCCCCUGCCUGCUUAAUAAAAGCUAGGAUGGGAAUUGCUCGAGAGGACAUUCCCUCUUGAGUUGUUCUCACUCUCGUUUCUCCUGA